GUCCACGCCGUAAACGAUGAUAACUCGGUGCUGGCGAUAUACGGUCAGUGCCCAAGCGAAAGUGAUAAGUUAUCCACCUGGGGAGUACGAUCGCAAGGUUGAAACUCAAAGGAAUUGACGGGGGCCCGCACAAGCGGUGGAGCAUGUGGUUUAAUUCGAUGAUACGCGAGGAACCUUACCUGGGCUUAAAUGCAUAAUGACAGACUGGGAAACCAGUCCUUCUUCGGACAGAAUGCAAGGUGC
rnacentral:rRNA from 1 species